AGGGCGGGUCGUGUGUCAGUGUA
rnacentral:miRNA from 1 species